UUACAUUUAAUAAAAGAUUAAAAAUAGGGUGUACUAUUGGAAAAUGCAAAGACACCUCUGUUGCACUAAUGGAGUUUAAACUCUAAUUGAAAAUGGGAAAAUAUAUUUGACAAGGUUGAAAAUUAAAUCAGUGGUGUGGAGCAAAAACUUAAAAAUGUUUCCCAGGAUGCAGAGGGAAAAGGUAAGUUGUUAACAGUGAUGAGAAAAAUGAUAGAGCUGAAGGAUGUUGCACUUUUACCCAAAUCAUAAAUGAUGAUUGUUCCCUCCAUUCCUCUUAGAGAAGUGGAGAAUGAGUAUAACAGACAUAGUGCCAGAUUUGACACGAAGCACCAGCUAAAAUCACCAAGUCAGAGGCAUGUUGCUGCAAGAGCAGGUAUAAGGCAAGCAGGAUGUAGACUUUUUUUUCUCCACCUAACUGCUAUGUUUGUUCCUUAGGGAAUAAAUAUAAGGAAAAGCAUCUUGGAAAGAAAUCAAAACAGAGCUAAAAAGGACUACAAAGACACAAAUAAUGUGAAAACAAAUGAAUACUAGCAAAAACAAGAAAACCAAAAUCAGACAUUAGGGGGCUCAGCCAAGGAGAAAUUUUCUGAAUUGGUGAAUGUCAUGUUUAAUUAGUUGUCUUCAAGUGUUAUACUGAAGGCAGCCCUUCCAGGAGCUAACCCUGGCUGGAGAGGAUGUGAUUUCCAGAAAAUAUAUUAUUUAUCUCAGUCCAAAAAGUUAACUUACAUGUCAGUUAAGGUUUCAGCCCACACAUGAGGUCUUAUUGUGUUACUGAGCAUUGCUCAUCAAGAUACUUAAGAAAGGGUUUGUUGGGCUAAAUAAAGAUGGCAGACUGGGAAGGAACCUAAAAUAAAAAUGAAAGUCAGCGGAGAAAGAGUUGCCAGAGAUCAGCCUCUGAACUUUAUGUAUCAGCUAAGGAGCUCCUACCAUUUACUUGAAAAAUCUCCCCUGUCUGAGAGACAGGGGAGGCACUGGGCUGCUGUUUCCUUAAGCACUUGGAUCUUGUUAAUUAUGUGCGCAUUAAGCAGCAUUCUGCAUUAAAUUUGGCCUUGCAGGAAGAUAAUAUGAAUCCUCAACUCAGGCACAAAAGGCUUUGGCAGUCGCCUUAACCUGCUUCCCCAUCUUUCAGCAUCCCCCUCUACAUUGCAGAUUUGCAUUCCUCCAGC
rnacentral:lncRNA from 10 species